rnacentral:tRNA from 1 species
AACUUUCCUCCCCAUCUUUCUGGUAUCUAGCGAAAUGGCAGCUGGAUUCCCUAGUUCCAAUGUUCUUUUGAUUGCUAAACUGUACUUG